rnacentral:rRNA from 1 species
GUGGGGAAUAUUGGACAAUGGGCGAAAGCCUGAUCCAGCCAUGCCGCGUGUGUGAAGAAGGUCUUCGGAUUGUAAAGCACUUUAAGUUGGGAGGAAGGGCAGUAAGUUAAUACCUUGCUGUUUUGACGUUACCGACAGAAUAAGCACCGGCUAACUUCGUGCCAGCAGCCGCGGUAAUACGAAGGGUGCAAGCGUUAAUCGGAAUUACUGGGCGUAAUGCGCGCGUAGGUGGUUCAGCAAGUUGGAGGUGAAAGCCCCGGGCUCAACCUGGGAACUGCCUCCAAAACUACUGAGCUAGAGUACGGUAGAGGGUAGUGGAAUUUCCUGUGUAGCGGUGAAAUGCGGAGAUAUAGGAAGGAACACCAGUGGCGAAGGCGACUACCUGGACUGAUACUGACACUGAGGUGCGAAAGCGUGGGGAGCAAACAGGAUUAGAAACCCGGGUAGUCC